AUUGAACGCUGGCGGCAGGCCUAACACAUGCAAGUCGAGCGGUUGAAGGGAGCUUGCUCCUGGAUUCAGCGGCGGACGGGUGAGUAAUGCCUAGGAAUCUGCCUGGUAGUGGGGGAUAACGUCCGGAAACGGGCGCUAAUACCGCAUACGCCCUGAGGGAGAAAGUGGGGGAUCUUCGGACCUCACGCUAUCAGAUGAGCCUAGGUCGGAUUAGCUAGUUGGUGGGGUAAAGGCCUACCAAGGCGACGAUCCGUAACUGGUCUGAGAGGAUGAUCAGUCACACUGGAACUGAGACACGGUCCAGACUCCUACGGGAGGCAGCAGUGGGGAAUAUUGGACAAUGGGCGAAAGCCUGAUCCAGCCAUGCCGCGUGUGUGAAGAAGGUCUUCGGAUUGUAAAGCACUUUAAGUUGGGAGGAAGGGCAGUAAGUUAAUACCUUGCUGUUUUGACGUUACCAACAGAAUAAGCACCGGCUAACUUCGU
rnacentral:rRNA from 1 species